rnacentral:rRNA from 1 species
CGGUAAUUCCAGCUCCAAUAGCGUAUGCUAAAAUUGUUGCGGUUAAAACGCUCGUAGUUGUACGUUCCUCCAGGGCACUCGGAUUUUUCGUACAGAAGGUUCCGAGUGGUCUGUGAAAUUAUUUUACAAAGCGGUCUCUUGCUGAGCACGCGGAAAGGGAUACUUGUACCUUGAAGAAAUUAGAGUGCUUCAAGCAGAUUAUUGUCUGAAUAUUAUAGCACGGAAUAGUUGGAGAAGACACUGGUUCUAUUAGAGAUUUGUAGAGCAGGUGUAAUAGUUGAGAGGAACAGAAGGGGGCAUUCAUAUUCGCAUGUGAGUGGUGGAAUUCUUGGAUCUUGCGAAGGUGGACUACUGCGAAAGCAUUUGUCAAGAAUGUUUUCAUUAAUCAAGAACGAAAGUUAGGGGAUCGAAGACGAUUAGAUACCGUCCUAGUCUUAACCAUAAGCCAUGCCUUUUGGAGAUCAGGUGAACCUCGAACGCAGAGGAUUCUGGCAUCCUAGGGGAAACUAAAAUUUUUGGGUUCCGGGGGGAGUAUGGUCGCAAGACUGAAACUUAAAGGAAUUGACGGAAGGGCACCACCAGGAGUGGAGCUUGCGGCUUAAUUUGACUCAACGCGAGAAAUCUCACCAGGUCCAGACAUGGGAAGGAUUGACAGAGAAGCAGCUUUUUCUCGAUUACAUGGGUGGUGGUGCAUGGCCGUUCUCAGUUGGUGGGGUGAUCUGUCUGAUUGAUUCCGAUAACGAACGAGACCUCGACCUACUAAAUAAUUAGCACUUUGCGGUAAGUGAUGAUUUCUUAGAGGGACUUUUCGUGUCCAUCGAAAGGAAGUAUGAGGCUAUAACAGGUCUGUGAGGCCGUUAGAUGUUGUGGGCUGCACGCGCGCUACACUGACAUAGACAGAGAGAGGUCCUAUCCGAGGGGAGUGGAGAAACUUGAGAGGAUAUGUCGUGAUGGGGAUAGUUUAUUGCAAUUAUUGACCUUAAGCGAGGAAUUCGUAGUAAGCGUAUGGAAUGAACUUACGUUGAUUACGUCCCUGCCCUUUGUGCACACCGCCC